GAUGAAGAACGCAGCGAAAUGCGAUAAGUAAUGUGAAUUGCAGAAUUCAGUGAAUCAUCGAAUCUUUGAACGCACAUUGCGCCCGCCAGUAUUCUGGCGGGCAUGCCUGUUCGAGCGUCAUUACAACCCUCAAGCCCCCGGGCUUGGUGUUGGGGAUCGGCGAGCCUCCGCGCCCGCCGUCCCCUAAAUCUAGUGGCGGUCUCGCUGUAGCUUCCUCUGCGUAGUAGCACACCUCGCACUGGGAAACAGCGCGGCCACGCCGUUAAACCCCCAACUUCUGAACGUUUGACCUCGGAUCAGGUAGGAAUACCCGCUGAACUUAAGCAUAUCAAUAAGCGGAGGA
rnacentral:misc_RNA from 1 species